GGCAUUUGAAGUAGAGAUUGUGCUGCUACACGCCCAUUGGGCCAAAAGAAAUGCGGGAAAGGGCACACCCGCCAAGUGCG
rnacentral:ncRNA from 1 species